rnacentral:rRNA from 1 species
UACGUAGGGACCGAGCGUUGUCCGGAUUUAUUGGGCGUAAAGAGCGUGUAGGCGGCCAGGUAGGUCUGCUGUGAAAACUCGAGGCUUAACCUCGAGCUGUCGGCGGAAACCAUCUGGCUAGAGUCCGGAAGAGGAGAAUGGAAUUCCCGGUGUAGCGGUGAAAUGCGCAGAUAUCGGGAAGAACACCCGUGGCGAAGGCGGUUCUCUGGGCCACUACUGACGCUGAGAAGCGAAAGCAUGGGGAGCGAACAGG